UCUGGUUAUAAUAGCAGAGAGGAUACACCUGUUCCCAUUCCGAACACAGAAGUUAAGCUCUCUAGCGCUGAUGGUACUUGGCGGGAAACUGCCUGGGAGAGUAGGACAUAGCCAGGU
rnacentral:rRNA from 1 species